rnacentral:rRNA from 1 species
ACUCCUACGGGAGGCAGCAGUGGGGAAUCUUAGACAAUGGGCGCAAGCCUGAUCUAGCCAUGCCGCGUGAUCGAUGAAGGCCUUAGGGUUGUAAAGAUCUUUCAGAUGGGAAGAUAAUGACGGUACCAUCAGAAGAAAGCCCCCGGCUAACUCCGUGCCAGCAGCCGCGGUAAUACGGAGGGGCUAGCGUUAUUCGGAAUUACUGGGCGUAAAGCGCACGUAGGCGGAUCAGAAAGUCAGAGGUGAAAUCCCAGGGCUCAACCUUGGAACUGCCUUUGAAACUCCUGGUCUUGAGAUUCGAGAGAGGUGAGUGGAAUUCCGAGUGUAGA